rnacentral:tRNA from 1 species
GCUGAAGAUACGCUUGUAGCCUUAAUUUGAAGUUAAGGAGAUUGGUUAAUUCCAACUUUGGUU